rnacentral:rRNA from 1 species
UACGGAGGGUGCGAGCGUUGUCCGGAAUCACUGGGCGUAAAGGGCGCGUAGGCGGCCUGAUAAGUAGGGGGUGAAAUCCUGCGGCUUAACCGCAGGGCUGCCUUCUAAACUGUCAGGCUCGAGCACAGUAGAGGCAGGUGGAAUUCCCGGUGUAGCGGUGAAAUGCGCAGAUAUCAGGAAGAACACCCGUGGCGAAGGCGGCUCUCUGGUACGUGACUGACGCUGAGACGCGAAAGCGUGGGGAGCAAACAGG